CAACAGAAAUGUAAAAACAGCAGUAAUGUUUUCAGAAUAAAGUGAAAAUACUCAGAGAUGAAAGUCGCAAUUUUAUGACAAUAACUUGCAAUAUUAGGAGGGAAAAUGCCAUUUUAGUAGCAUAGAGUUGAAAUAUUAAAGAAAAAUGUUACUUUUUAAAAGUCAUGAUAUUAUGACAAACUAAAAAAGAAAAUAUAAAUUCAUUGUCAAAUUCAUGUCAGUCAUUUUUGGAAAAUUAGUUUGGGGAAAAAGUUAUAAUAUGGGAAUAAAGUCAAAAUAUGAGAAUGAAGUCAUAUUAUAAGAAGAAAAUGUAUGAAGAUUAUGAGGCAACAGCAGCAGGAAUGGGGGGGAAAAGAGCAAAGAGUGAAUUUGAUUGUAGUAAUUUGCUUUUUCACCGAUAUCACACCGCUGAGAUGCACUGUUUUCUUGAAAUGUAUCGAACUUCUUAGCAUAACUGCACAAAAUAGCAAAGCUGCAUCCUUUCAUUUUUCUCUGUGUGGCCCUUGUUGGAAAAAGUUAUUUGAAUGGGACGGUGACAGAUAGCCUGUAAUGCUAAAAUAUUUAGCUGGUUGAUAAUUGUACUACAAAUUAUCGUAGAGAAAUGAUAAUAUCGACUUUUUUUAGACCAUUUUUUUCGUAAAUGUUUUCAUUAAUUUUUUAUUAAGUGUCAUGUCACAUUUGAACCCCUAGAUGGUGCUCAAGUAUAGUGUACUUUAGUACGUGUAGUGCAUGCGCCUGUACAGACUCAACCUGUCUCUGUUAAGAAACAAAAACAAAACACUCCAAUAAAACCUAGACACACACACACACACACACACACACAGUUAUGUAGUGUAUUGUCCAAUCAAUGUAGCGGAUCAUGUUUGUGCUGGACCACCGCUGAGUUGUGGCGCAAUAUGCAAUGUUGCUGAUAUGCCCUUCAACAUGUCUUCUUUUGCGCAGUUUUAUUGCUGUUUGUGACAUGUGCGUGUACGUUCUUCCAGGCAAUUUGUACUGUCUGUCAAACAUUUCCCCAAAUGUUGGCUUUUCAACCGUAUUGAAAGGUUGCAUUUCUUUUGCAAUGUAGCGAGCGACACUGUGAUUUUGCGCUGUUUUGUUUAAUAUUUGCUCCGCCCGUCAAACGCCUCAGUAAGCAUCGACUGUCUGGACGAAAGCUGUACUGCGCAUCCACACUGGAACCGUGGCAUUUGGCUUAGAAACUAUCGCUCUUGUGCCUUUAUUCGUAUUUGCGUCUGCUUGCUCAACGCUAACUGCUAGUACUCGGUGUAGCCAUUCACUACACAGGCCCCGCCUCCAUGUACUGGGACAAAGACGCUGAGUAGCCGACAGGAGGUUCACUCUCUCCGUUCAUGCCACUAUAGAACCAAUGUGCACGCACACAUGCAGAGAGAGAGAGAGGAGCCUCUUUGUUAAAGAUUCUCUUACGAUAUCAAAUACCAACGUAUGUACAUACUCUAUUUUAUUAUCUGAAGGGGAUCAAUCAUCCAAACAUCCUGUGAUUAUCUGUUUAUUCUGGAGAAGUGGAAAAGUACUGUGAGUGGACUGAGAGAAAACGGUUGAGAUAAAGAAGCACCUGGUCUGCGAGGCAUGACCAAGGCUGUCAGGACAGGACAGCUCCAGGCAAUUCAAGGACAAAAAGCACAUUCCGCAGUCACGCGCUAAGCAGCCGCUUCCUCAACGGUCCACUCCCGGAACUACCUGUGACUAAUAUCGAAACUUAACUUACCACGUCCAUCUAUGUGUUACCAUGCCCAUCUAUGUCAAUAAAAAGAAGCAGGAGAGUGUGGCACGGAUUCUCUCUCCUUGCGCAAGAAAAUCUCAAGCCUUCCAGUCUGGGUCAUUUUGUUAAUUCACAGGUUGGGGGCAAGUUCCCCUGACACUCUUGUCAUCCAGCCUGUGUUGCACAGAGAGAUGAGGAAAUGGAACAAUAUGCACAUGUCAAUUUAUGGAGGCGUCCAAAUUAUUGACCUCGCUCUUUUCUAUUGUUCGAUUCAUCGUUUUAUCCAUUAUGGUGACAAGCCUAGCGAAGGAAAAGAAGGGCAAAAUGGGAGGGUUGACAGAAGGGAUGAGAAAGCGAUGAAGCGUUUCUUUCGUCAUGCAUUUACUGUGUAAUCAACUAGCGCUCACGAGAGGCUUGUCGCCGGAGCACACCUCCUCAACCCGGUGUGCGUGCACCGCCGUUGAAGCCUGCAUCCAGGCUUUGCCUUUAGCGGGGGGGUCUCAAACUCAGUUUACCCGGGGGCCACUGGAGGUAGUCUGGGUGAGGCUGGGCCUCAGCAAGUAUUGGGAAUAAGGCUCACGAUAACGAUCAUAUCUAUAACGAUAUCGCGUAUGCUGCAGGAAACACGUCCAACAUGUUAGCUCACUUAAAGCGGCAUCAUUCGGCAGUGAACGUUACAGCUACAAGAAUACCUUAGUUAGCUUAGUGCUAACACCGAUAACGUCGGCAUAUAAACAACCUCUAGCAAACAAAUCUGACCGGGCCAAAGCAGUAACACGUGGUAUUGGAGUUUGUAUAGCCACGAGAUUACGACCACGUUCAGUUGUUGAGAGCGCUGGCUUUAAGGACAGUCAUGGAACAAAUGAUUAGACCACCCUCGUUUCUCCAGUUUCAUUUUCAUUUUAAUGCCUGAUACAACUACAGGUACCUUUGUUUGGACAAAUAUAACAAUAACAACAAAAAAUAGCUCAUAACCGUUUGAUUUUUUGGCAGUACAAUGCUGUAGCUAUUCAUGUUAGCAAUUUGGUUAUUAUCAAGAAAAGCAUGGAAGUUGCUGGAUAUCAGCUCUUAAAUUAAACUCUUAUGAGUUAUAUUUGUUAUCAUCAUAUUUGUCCAAACAAAUGUACCUUUAGUUGUACCAGGCAUUACAAUGGAUCAAUAAACUGAGGAAACAAGGCUGGUCUAAUCAUUUUUUCCAUGACUGUACAUGAUUACAGUUCUUGUACCUCGCUACAAAAUACCAUCACGUCCUCACUUUAGCCAGAAAGUUAUACCAGCACUUUAUGAAAAAGCUAAUUAAUUGUCCAUAGGUAUGAAUGAGAGUGUGAAUGGUUGUCUGUCUAAAUGUGCCCUGCCAUUGGCUGGCGACCAGUCCAGGGUGUACCCCGCCUGUCGCCCCAAGUCAGCUGGGAUGGGCUCCAGCAUGCCCCAGCUACCCUAUUGAGGAUAAGCGGUAUAGAAAAUGGAUGGAUGGACAGAUGGUUGGACUUCACGUGCAACAGACAGAUUUAACUAACUGUCCAUUACAUUUCACUAAGUCUAAUGGGUCGCUUUUAUUUAUUUUAAAAAAUGUGUUUGCAUUUUUUAAAUAAAAGCACUUUAAGACAUUUUUUCUGCCUUUUUUUGUGCCGAAAAUGACCCACUUCAAGAAACUGAACCGAACCAAAAUGACAUAUUAGUGUACCGUUCCACCCCUAGUAUUUACUUACCUGUUACAUGAUGUGCUGUCAUUUCGUGUGUGUGCGUUAGCACCACGAUUGUAGGCAGUGUUCUGUUUCGUGACCCCCAUUUCGCCAUGUGACUCUUAGUUCCGUGGUAGGUUAUGCUUUCACCCUGUGAGCAUCAUUGGCUUAACUUAGAGCUUGCGGGCCGCAUUUACAGUAGUCCUUCCUGUCAAGUCACGGGCCGCAAAAUCUGACUUGGCGGGCCGCAAAUGGCCCGCGGGCCGCGAGUUUGAGACCACUGGUCUAGGAGUUUGUCGUUGGCAGAAAAUGCACCGCCGCUGGAUUCACCAAACGUGGAGUUCCUCGAGCCACGCUUUGCCAUGCCCAGUUGCGAGUAUUUCUCAGAUGUUUGCUUACUGUUGUACAGUGUUGUUUACAGCCACGUCGAGAAGCUAAUUGCUGAUGGUGUAACCAUUAGCUUCACAACAGAUAUGUGUUAAUUCCACCACAGGAGAUAUGUGACGUUACACAUAUCGGUAUCGUUUGAUAUCGUAAUCGAAAAUUGAAGGUUGGACAAUAUUGGCAUAUCGGAUGUUGGCAAAAAAAAAAGCUAGUUAUUUUUCUUCAUAAUGUAGCGUUAUUCUCGUAAGACGUUUUCUGGUUGGAUUAUUACUUUUUUCUCUUAAAAUUAUGACUUUAUUCUCGGAAAAUUGUUUUUGUUUUUUUUGUUUUUCAUUUUCCAACAAUUUCAACUUUUUUUCAUGUAAAGUUUUCCAAAAAUGACAACUUUGUUUUGUUUAUUUUUCAUAAUAUUACAACUUAAAAUGAUGUUAUUUUUCUUCAUAAUGUAAUAACGUUAUUCCCGUACAACUUUUACUGUUGGAUUAGAACUUUUUUCUAUGAAUAUUAUGACCUCAUUCUUGGAAAAUUACAGCCGAUUUUUCCAUUUUGUUUGUUCUCAUAAUAUCACGACUUUAAAAAAAUGUUUUUAAUAUUCAAAUUAAAGCGACCAAAAGUAUGUUAUUUUUCCUUUUAAUAUUAGGAUGUUAUUGUCAUAAAAUAUUGGCUUUUUCGUGUUAGUUCGCAACUUCUUAUUAGAAUAUUUUGGCUUUAUUCUUGUAGAAUGACUGCAGAUUUUUUCAUUUUUGCUGUUUUGUAGUAUUCUUGUUAUAGUCAAUUUUUUAGAAUGUGCCAUGGGCCCGAAAUGGACCCCGGGGCGCACCUUGGACACCCCAGCAAUACGCUUUGCACCGGGAGAAGACUUGCUUGUAUAUUGCAUUUGUACGUUCAUGCUUUUGGAGUUGUAUUUUGUGAAAUAAACGUUUUUUUGGUGAAGUGCAUGCAAGUGGCCCAAUCAUUUUCUCCACAAAUAGCCAGUAUAGUUUUUAAAAGUAAAAAUUCUGAAGACGUACCUGGAAUGAUGUGAUUCAUGAAUGACAACAUUACGCUAUGUUUGUCAUCCAGAAAGUGUAACAUGCCCCCAGCGCCGAUGCGGUGUUCUUAACGGUGACAAACGCUACAAAAAAUGCAGCAGUGAGUAUUGCUGACAGCUUUAAUGACAAUAGCGCAUAAACAGGAAGAAGCAGACGACGUGGUUGGCAUCUCAGCGAGCCCAUCCGUCUUAGAGGCACGUGGCCGUUUCCUUGGAGGGGCACAUUUGGCCGAAGCAGAUCUCCUUGAAGCCGGUCGCCUUGGUCAUCCCGCUGGCUGUAUGGUUGUAGAGGAGGCAGUAGUCGUUGGGGCUGCUGGCGGUGGUGUUGACUGAGGAGCUGCUAGACGCCUGCCAGGGAAGGACACAAGGAUGGAGGGUUUUCAUGUACGUCCACAAGAACUUUGGGGAGGACGGUGGGCUGAACUGGAAGGUGAUUUGGUUGGUUUUGUUGGUGUUGGGCGACGUGUGCGUCAUCUGGAGGACGGAGGGCGAGUACUUCACAAACUAAACAACACAACAACACAACUUGUCACACAACAACUUUCUUGCACUCCCUUGGAGCACAUUGUCACGUAUCACUAACUGUAACUAAAUGUGUUUAUUAUUUUGUAUUUUUAAUCUUGCAGACAGAAAUACAUUUGCAUACUGUGAUCAACUUUGUAUUUUUUAAGUAUUGUUAUACUUUGAAUGUUGAUGAACUGUUUAUAUUUAUUACUAUUUCUGUAUAGUUACAUUUUUGGUAUUAUAAUUAUUUACAGAGUGCACAGAAUGAUAUAAUUUUCUACACAGGGUAAAUUUAGUUGCUGAAACACAUGUUACACCUUAAGAUUGUGACCUUUAGUUGCAAUAUUCUAAAUAAUUCCAUUGCAGGGCUUAAGUAAGUAGAAGUGGGUUUUUUUGUUUCAAAAAAAGGUAGGAAUAAAGGACCAAAUAGUGUCAACUGGGCUUUGACAAUAUAUACUGAAUUUAACAAGUACGUAUUAAAUAUCCAUAUUCCCCAUGCAUUAUUUUUUUCAACAUAUUUUUCAUAUUUUGCACAAAUUGGCAUCUUUGACAUAUUUUUUUUGGUCCACAUGAAUUACAAAAUGGAAUCAUUUAUGAAGUUGUCCA